rnacentral:rRNA from 1 species
UUUGACCUCAAAUCAGGUAGGACUACCCGCUGAACUUAAGCAUAUCAAUAAGCGGAGGAAAAGAAACUAACAAGGAUUCCCCUAGUAACUGCGAGUGAAGCGGGAAAAGCUCAAAUUUGAAAUCUGGCAGUCUAUUUUUUCUUCUUUGGCUGUCCGAGUUGUAAUCUAGAGAAGUGCUUACCUGCACUGGACCGU